AAUCCAACAGAAAAAAAUAUGACAUUUACAUUUACAUUUAGUCAUUUAGCAGACGCUUUUAUCCAAAGCGACUUACAAGGAAAUUGCAUUUAUACAUCAGGAUUUUUUCUUUUUUUUUCUUCCCUUUCCCGUAGGUAGUGUGUCGCCCCAAUCACCCUUAUGGACAAGCCACCCCUGCUUGUAGGUCUGUGUAAGCAUGUGAGUGAGAGAGAGAAAGAAAGAAAGAAAGAAAGAAAGAAAGAAAAUAAAUAAAUAAAUAAAUGUGUAUGUGCUGGUGUAUAUCCGACAGGCUGGGCGAGAAUAGUGCCUACUUCCUGUGAGGGUGUGACAGACGACUUGUAGGGGAACUUCCACACAAAUCCUUGACAAAAAGUUUGACAGCUGAACUUCUGGAAACAGAUGUCUGUCUUAUAGCUCACAAUCACCUCUUGACUGAAUCUUAGAGGACACAAGUCAGAAGACAAAAUCUACUUGAAUUUAACACAAACAGACACAUCAAAGGACUCUACCACAGCUCACAAUCAAUACUUGACUGAAACUAAGAGGUCACAAGGAUGUCAGAAGACAAAAUCUGCUCAGAUGUAAUGCCAAAGGACACACCUGAGGACUCUACCACAGCUCAGAGUUCUAAGGAAGCAAAUUGUUGCCAGUUAACCAUGGAUGAGAUGAGUCUCCUGAAACUGAAGUUAACCAUCCUGGCUGUCCUCUGUGUCAUCCUUGGAGCUUUUCUUGUGGCUUUUCAAGUGCUUUGUGAGUGUGUUUUUAAAAAGUGAGUGUUCACCAUGUCCAUUAGUGUGCUAGCAAGCAAGAAAGUGUGUAUUUUAUAGUCCAUUCUAGGCUUAAUAUUCAACAAUAUACAACCAUUACCAUCAUAUACCAUGUUAGUAUUUAUGUGAUUUGUAAUUCUGAAAAUGAUAGGAUAGGACAACAUGUAUUCGUCUUGUUCUGAAAUAUUUAAAUUAAUCGAUUGAAAAAUCAAAACGUAAUUCAGUAUAUAGAUGU